AUAGAAAGUAUUCCAUCUGUUUCACAAGCUUCAAAUAUAAACAGCUCAAAUGCUCAUCAAUAAAUAUGAAAAUUAUGUAGAUAUUUUUCCUAUCUAAAAUGAAUAGUCCAAUUGUUAAGUUAUUCUAGUUGUCAGCAUCAUUGUUAGAAGAAAAUUUCAAAGCUUGAAAUCAACCUAUUAUACAUCAAACUCCAAACGAUUAUCAAUUUUAACCCAAUUUUAAUAAGAUCAGCACAAUGAUUAACAACAAAAAAAGCACUGAGUGAGGUAAUGAGCACAAAAUCAAGAAACUUAAAUAAAAUUUAACAUGAGAAAAAAAGCAAGAGCAAGCCAAUAACAGUUUAUCAGUACCAAUUUAGCAUCAAUCAAUAAGCCAGUAACAGAGUUCAUUAAUCAAGAACAGGCUAGAACAAGCCAGAGUAGUGAGCAAAGCCAAUCAACCAAGAACAAGCCAGUAACAGUUUAUUAGUACCAAUUUAGCAUCAAUCAAUAAGUCAGUAACAGAGUUAAUUAAUCGAGAAUAGGCUAGAACAAGCCAGAGUAGUGAGCAAAGCCAAUCAACUAAGAACAAGCACUAAGCACUGACAGAGCAUCCAAUUAACUCAAGCACAAAGUAAAAAAAACAAAACAGCAACACAUCACUUAAUCAAUAAUCAUCAAUCAAUGAAAAAAAUACCAAUAGUGAGUAUUAAAAAACGACGAUCACAAACCAUGGAAGAACAAGCAUGAAGAGGGUUUGGUUACUGAACAGACAAUAAAAAAACACGAGGAACAAGCACUAGCAGUGAGCAUUGACCUUCGACGGACGACAGAGAGUGGUUGAGCGCAAUGGACGACGGCGAACAGGCGACUGAUGAGAGCGAACAGGGGAUGGAGAGCGAACAGGUGACUGAUGAGAGCGAACAGGGGAUGGUGAGAGCGAA